rnacentral:lncRNA from 1 species
UGGAAAUUCUGAGCACAGAUAAUGGAGGCUCCAGGUGCUUGGGUCACAGCCAGGAAAAUCAUCCAAGACGCAGCACGAUGCGGGAAUGGCGCGCAGCCCUGCGGAAGGCGGCCAGGCCCCACAGAUCGGGGACAGGGGUAGCUGUCACCCCUCCCCUGGGGACCCGGAUGCUGGGGAAAGGAGACUCUCCAGGAAACUGAACACAAGUUUUCAGAUCAAUUAGACGCAUAAAUUUCUGAUGACUGCCACGGGAUGUUCCGCAUCUCCAUCCAUACUGCGGAGAUGCCGCUAUGAGGAACAACGAGUAACCUUCAAAGGCGGCUGACCCUACUGAUUAAUUACAGUGAGCCCCCACAGCCUCAUAUCAAUAACAGGGAAACGAAGUCAGUUUCUGCUGACUUUUGCUCUCGACAGGUUGAAUGUUGAGUUCACGUGGACACCACAGAAUCAUGAUAUCCUACAGAUUCAGCUACUUGGGGACAUAUUUUAAGCUAGCACUUUCUCCAAAGCCUCUCAGGAAGGCAGCAACUGCUUGUGAGCUAGCAGAGAAAGGUCUGCACAGCCUCAAUCAUUCAUUUCACAAAUGCUGAGACUCGAGGCUGCUGUGUGUCACGCUAGCUCCAAGGUUGCAAAGAGAGGACAGGCCCUAUAUGGAGGAAAGGAUGGGGCCAUGACCACGGUGCCACAGGCUGUAGGCCCCCAAGGACAGCCCUGUGCUGCAUUUGUGACUGUGUCUCUUGCACCUAACAGGAGGCCCAGCAUUUAGCAG